rnacentral:rRNA from 1 species
AAUCAACGCUGGCGGCGUGCCUCAGACAUGCAAGUCGAACGAUUAGAGCUCUCUUCGGAGAGUGCAUAGAGUGGCGCACGGGUGAGUAACACGUAAGUAAUCUACCUUCGAGUGGGGAAUAACGUCCGGAAACGGACGCUAAUACCGCAUAAUGCAGCGGCAUCGCAAGAUGACAGUUGUUAAAGAUUUAUCGCUUGAAGAGGAGCUUGCGGCAGAUUAGCUAGUUGGUAAGGUAAUGGCUUACCAAGGCUACGAUCUGUAACCGGUCUUAGAGGACGGUCGGUCACACUGACACUGAAUAACGGGUCAGACUCCUACGGGAGGCAGCAGUCGGGAAUUUUGGGCAAUGGGCGAAAGCCUGACCCAGCAACGCCGCGUGAAGGAUGAAGUAUUUCGGUAUGUAAACUUCGAAAGAAUGGGAAGAAUAAAUGACGGUACCAUUUAUAAGGUCCGGCUAACUACGUGCCAGCCGCCGCGAUAAAAC